CUUUACUCCAGAAGCCGAAUGAAAACGAUCCGGCUUUUCAUACAUACAAAAACCAGACAGAUGGCAGUGCGCAAGCAAGAUCAUCUGGAGCUCGCGUUCCAAGCUUCUCUCUCUCUCUCUUCGUCGUUUCUUCUCGGAGAAGAUUGUGUGGUGACGAAACAUGGUGGAGGGGGAGUCCCUUAUUGCGAAAGAUGUCACUGAGAUAAUUGGCAAGACGCCCCUGGUGUACCUCAACCGUGUGGUGGAGGGUUGUGUUGCCCGAAUCGCUGCGAAGCUCGAAAUGAUGGAGCCCUGCUCAGGUGUCAAAGACAGGAUUGCGUAUAGAAUGAUUGCAGAUGCUGAGGAAAAGGGUCUGAUUAAGCCGGGAGAGAAUGUUCUGACUGAGCCUACUAGUGGUAGCACCGGAAUAGGGCUGGCAUUCAUGGCUGCUGCUAAGGGUUAUAAACUUAUAAUUACCAUGCCUGCUUCAAUGAGUCUUGAAACAAGAACCAUUCUCCGUGCUUUUGGAGCUGAUCUGGUCCUCACAGAUCCAGCCAGGGGCAUGAAAGGCGCUGUUAAAAAGGCUGAAGAGAUAGUGGAAAGAAUACCCAAUGCAUACAUGCUUCAUCAAUUUGAGAACCCUGCCAAUCCCAAGAUCCAUUAUGAAACGACUGGACCAGAGAUCUGGAAAGGUUCGGGAGGCAAAGUUGAUGCCCUCGUUUCUGGGAUAGGAACUGGAGGUACAAUAACAGGAGCAGGAAAAUAUCUCAAGGAGCAGAACCCUAAGAUCAAGCUCUAUGCUGUAGAACCUGCGGAAUGUGCAGUAUUAUCGGGUGGCAAACCUGGUCCGCAUAAAAUACAAGGCAUUGGUGCUGGCUUCAUCCCUGGAGUGCUAGAUGUGAAUUUACUUGAUGAAGUUAUUCAAGUAAGUUUUUAUCCGUACAAGGGGACAAAUUUGUGCUAUUUUCUUUCUGUUUUCUGGUUCUGCCAUCAUGUUCAAUUAUCCUCAUUCCUAAAUUUCAUAACAUCCAUGCUGUUGCACAAGGGAAAAAGGACUAAACAUGCGAACAGAAAGUCUGCUCUCUUGCUGAUAUCCAUCCUACUACCUGAUAGAUCAUCAUUUGUAUUCAACAAAAUGACGACAACUCUUCAAUUGCACAUGCCUUUUACGAUUUGCAUACUGUUAGCCAAUGAUCUUUGCGUUGUAAAUGUGGUUCCUAUCAAGUAAUUCACAUUGGCUAUUACAGGAUUCUCUUUCUGACUUUGCAGGUAUCAAGUGAAGAAGCUAUUAAAACUGCCAAGCUGCUUGCAGUGAAGGAGGCUUUGCUGGUAAAGAGAUUUGUCUAUCAUUAGGCAUUGAGACUUCAGAACCCCACCCCAGGAAACAAUGCGCACACUGGCUAAUAUCCAUUUUUAAGUUAUUUCUUGAAACAUGACAUGAUCGUGGCACUUCAGAGUUCUCUGCUGCGUGCUUUUGAAGUGGCUUCUUUGUGAUUUUAUCUUUUUCGCUUGCAGGUCGGAAUAUCGUCGGGUGCAGCUGCUGCAGCUGCAAUUAAUAUUGCAAAGAGGCCAGAAAAUUCUGGAAAGCUCAUUGUGGUGGUCUUCCCGAGCUUUGGAGAGCGCUACUUGUCUUCUGAGCUGUUUCAAUCAGUGAAGCAGGAGGCA